rnacentral:rRNA from 1 species
GUGAACUCGAAGAGUAGGGCGGGACACGUGGUAUCCUGUCUGAAUAUGGGGGGACCAUCCUCCAAGGCUAAAUACUCCUGACUGACCGAUAGUGAACCAGUACCGUGAGGGAAAGGCGAAAAGAACCCCGGCGAGGGGAGUGAAAAAGAACCUGAAACCGUGUACGUACAAGCAGUGGGAGCACCUUCGGGUGUGACUGCGUACCUUUUGUAUAAUGGGUCAGCGACUUAUAUUCUGUAGCAAGGUUAACCGUAUAGGGGAGCCGCAGGGAAACCGAGUCUUAACUGGGCGUUAAGUUGCAGGGUAUAGACCCGAAACCCGGUGAUCUAGCCAUGGGCAGGUUGAAGGUUGGGUAACACUAACUGGAGGACCGAACCGACUAAUGUUGAAAAAUUAGCGGAUGACUUGUGGCUGGGGGUGAAAGGCCAAUCAAACCGGGAGAUAGCUGGUUCUCCCCGAAAGCUAUUUAGGUAGCGCCUCGUGAACUCAUCUUCGGGGGUAGAGCACUGUUUCGGCUAGGGGGUCAUCCCGACUUACCAACCCGAUGCAAACUACGAAUACCGAAGAAUGUUAUCACGGGAGACACACGGCGGGUGCUAACGUCCGUCGUGAAGAGGGAAACAACCCAGACCGCCAGCUAAGGUCCCAAAGUCAUGGUUAAGUGGGAAACGAUGUGGGAAGGCACAGACAGCCAGGAUGUUGGCUUAGAAGCAGCCAUCAUUUAAAGAAAGCGUAAUAGCUCACUGGUCGAGUCGGCCUGCGCGGAAGAUGUAACGGGGCUAAACCAUGCACCGAAGCUGCGGCAGCGACACUAUGUGUUGUUGGGUAGGGGAGCGUUCUGUAAGCCUGUUAGCCGGGCGACGGUUGUCCCGGUUUAAGCAUGUAGGCUGGUUAUCCAGGCAAAUCCGGAUAAUCAAGGCUGAGGUGUGAUGACGAGGCACUACGGUGCUGAAGUAACAAAUGCCCUGCUUCCAGGAAAAGCCUCUAAGCAUCAGGUAACAUCAAAUCGUACCCCAAACCGACACAGGUGGUCAGGUAGAGAAUACCAAGGCGCUUGAGAGAACUCGGGUGAAGGAACUAGGCAAAAUGGUGCCGUAACUUCGGGAGAAGGCACGCUGGUGUGUAGGUGAAGUCCCUGCGGAUGGAGCUGAGACCAGUCGAAGAUACCAGCUGGCUGCAACUGUUUAUUAAAAACACAGCACUGUGCAAACACGAAAGUGGACGUAUACGGUGUGACGCCUGCCCGGUGCCGGAAGGUUAAUUGAUGGGGUUAUCCGUAAGGAGAAGCUCUUGAUCGAAGCCCCGGUAAACGGCGGCCGUAACUAUAACGGUCCUAAGGUAGCGAAAUUCCUUGUCGGGUAAGUUCCGACCUGCACGAAUGGCGUAAUGAUGGCCAGGCUGUCUCCACCCGAGACUCAGUGAAAUUGAACUCGCUGUGAAGAUGCAGUGUACCCGCGGCAAGACGGAAAGACCCCGUGAACCUUUACUAUAGCUUGACACUGAACAUUGAGCCUUGAUGUGUAGGAUAGGUGGGAGGCUUUGAAGCGUGGACGCCAGUCUGCGUGGAGCCAACCUUGAAAUACCACCCUUUAAUGUUUGAUGUUCUAACGUUGGCCCCUNACCGGGGUUGCGGACAGUGUCUGGUGGGUAGUUUGACUGGGGCGGUCUCCUCCCAAAGCGUAACGGAGGAGCACGAAGGUUAGCUAAUCCUGGUCGGACAUCAGGAGGUUAGUGCAAUGGCAUAAGCUAGCUUGACUGCGAGCGUGACGGCGCGAGCAGGUGCGAAAGCAGGUCAUAGUGAUCCGGUGGUUCUGAAUGGAAGGGCCAUCGCUCAACGGAUAAAAGGUACUCCGGGGAUAACAGGCUGAUACCGCCCAAGAGUUCAUAUCGACGGCGGUGUUUGGCACCUCGAUGUCGGCUCAUCACAUCCUGGGGCUGAAGUAGGUCCCAAGGGUAUGGCUGUUCGCCAUUUAAAGUGGUACGCGAGCUGGGUUUAGAACGUCGUGAGACAGUUCGGUCCCUAUCUGCCGUGGGCGCUGGAGAAUUGAGGGGGGCUGCUCCUAGUACGAGAGGACCGGAGUGGACGCAUCACUGGUGUUCGGGUUGUCAUGCCAAUGGCACUGCCCGGUAGCUAAAUGCGGAAGAGAUAAGUGCUGAAAGCAUCUAAGCACGAAACUUGCCCCGAGAUGAGUUCUCCCUGAGACUUUAAGUCUCCUGAAGGAACGUUAAAGACGAUGACGUUGAUAGGCCGGGUGUGUAAGCGCAGCGAUGCGUUGAGCUAACCGGUACUAAUGAACCGUGAGGCUUAACCUU